ensembl:rRNA 5S_rRNA 5S ribosomal RNA
GUCUACGGCAUUGCCACCCUGAAUGUGCCUGAGCUCGUCUGAUCUCGGAACCUAAGCAGGGUCAGGCCUGGUUAGUACUGGAUAGGAGACUUCCUAGGAAUACUGGAUGCUGUAGGCA